UUCUCCCGGAAGCGCACUGAGGUAAGACCUCAGUCACCCCCAAGUUCGCACACCCUGGGACCCUGCGGUCCCAGGCUCACCUGCCCUGACCCCGUUCAACUCCGGGCCUUGUCCUCGGGGGAACAUUGCACCCCACGCCACGCGCGAAUACCCCUCAUGCGGAAGCCGCCCGCCGGGACCCUCACGCACCUGGCACCAGGGACCGGGACACUGAGCUCGGAUAGCAACUCCUUCCUACUCCCGCUUUCCUGGAUCCUAACCCGAGAGUGUCUGCGCACGGUCGAAGGAGGAGCCGGCAAGGCGGAAAACUCUCCGGGCGCGGCCGCGUUUGUCGCCCCGGGGCGGAGCCGCACGAGAUGGGCGGAGCCUCUCUGGAGGGGCGGGGUGCGUGGGACCACGCCCACAGGUGAGGGUUGCGCUUCAGUGGUAGCUUUGUAGGAAGCCCCGAGCUUUCCGGAGCAAAGCCGCUCUAGACCUCAGGAUGAGAGGACAUUCUCGCGGGUGUUUAUUUUCAGGAGUUUGACAGCGAAAAAAAACUUAAAACAGUCACUGUGUACGGCAGGAGGAAACUUCACAAUGGAAAAAAUUACCACCUCAACCAGUGACCAGGGCCAACAUCAGCAGUGGUAAUUUAUAUUGAUCUUCUGUCGUGUGGUGUCUUCCUCCUGGAGACACAUGACCCCAUAGUAAUCGUGCAGAAAUAUCAGACAAGCCCCAAUUGAGGAACUCAGGACUGUCCAAAACUCUCAAGGUUGUCAAAACAAGAGGAGUCUGAGAAGCUGUCACAUGGAGAUAUGAAAACUAAGUAAUGUGACAUCUUGGAUGGGAUCCUGGGAAAAGGACACUAAGUUAAAAAAAACAAUGACAUCUGGACCAUAUAUAGAUUUAAUAACAAUGCAUCAAUAUUGGUACAUCUAUUGUAGCAAAAAUACUAAUAUGUUAAUAACAGGAGAAGACCCACGUUGGUUGUUUAUUUAGAAAAAGGUAGUAUAGUGAGUAUGAUUGUGUAACAUUUAAAAAUAAAAAUUAAGUCUCUUACUCUCCCCAGCUC
rnacentral:lncRNA from 1 species